CACGUAGGGCGCAAGCGUUGUCCGGAAUUAUUGGGCGUAAAGAGCUCGUAGGCGGACUGUUGCGUCCGCUGUGAAAAGCUGGGGCUUAACCCUGGCCUUGCAGUGGAUACGGGCAGACUAGAGGUAGGUAGGGGAGAAUGGAAUUCCUGGUGUAGCGGUGAAAUGCGCAGAUAUCAGGAAGAACACCCGUGGCUAAGGCGGCUCUCUGGGACGGUACUGACGCUGAGACGCGAAAGCGUGGGGAGCGAACAGG
rnacentral:rRNA from 1 species